CUGUGACCUUUGGGCUGUUCCUGGCGAGGAAGCUGUCCCUCACACGGGCCAUCUUCUACAUGGUGAUGCAGUGCCUGGGCGCCAUCUGCGGUGCCGGCGUCGUCAAGGGGUUCCAAAAGGGAGUCUACCAGAGCAACGGUGGCGGAGCCAACGUCGUGGCCUCCGGCUACUCCAAGGGCGACGGAUUGGGCGCCGAGAUCGUGGGCACCUUCAUCCUGGUCUACACCGUCUUCUCCGCGACCGACGCCAAGCGCAACGCCAGGGACUCCCACGUGCCUGUAAGCCCCCCUUGCUUUCGUGUAGCUCUCACAGCUUUCGCUUGUCGAAGCAGAGGCUAACGAGAAGUGAAUGAUGGGUGAUGAACAGAUUCUUGCGCCCUUGCCCAUCGGAUUCGCUGUCUUCCUGGUUCACCUGGCAACCAUCCCGAUCACCGGCACCGGCAUCAACCCUGCUCGGAGCCUGGGAGCUGCCGUCAUCUACAACAAGGACCAUGCCUGGGAUGACCAUGUAAGCAUGUUAAAGUGGAUGCACGAUUAAGCUGCAGACUCCCAACCCUUACAACAAUUCUGAUGUAGCUUCGUGUUUGUGUUGAUGCUUUCACAGUGGAUCUUCU
rnacentral:lncRNA from 1 species